UUUGAGUGAAAAAGGGGAGAGGAUUGGGUGUGAUGGAUUUCCUAUUGCCUGGAUUGUUAGCAUGGCUCUGUGUUGUAGUGGCCCAAGCCCGGCUCAAGGAUCCAGAUGCUGUUUUUGGUGAAGAGGAAGGUUAUGAUAGUUUUGAGCCAAAUGUGGGUAGUCCUGUAUUCCAGGAGACCCCACCAGAUGAAAAUGAUGGCUAUUUUGCUGGAGAGAUGAGAGGGGUGCCAAAAAGGGCAGAGCAGGACUUGAUAGAAAUGGGCUCUGAUGCUGAGGGGGAAGAGCUGGAUAAGGACUCGAGUGCUGAUGUGCAGAGAGAUGUGGCAGCAGUGACAACUGGUCCCUCUGAAGCAGAUCCUCCUUCAUCUGACCCUGAGUCUCAGGGUGACCCCGAGCAGCAGCAAUCCCACAGCCGCCCCCUGCUGUCCUGUGGCAAGAGCAGCAUGAUGCUCAAGUUCUCUGUGAGGAGGUUCAGCCGAAUCUACCUGCUGAAGGGCAAAAUGGCUCCUCUCUUGGUCACCAGUCUCCCAAAGCACUGUGGGCACAAGGUGCGGACCACCAGGAGCUGGCUGGUGCUGGUGGCUUCCUACAAAGGGUGUUACAUCAGGACCUGGAGGAAGAACCAGCGGCAACACUACUCCCUGACAGUGAGAUACUAUGACGAAGAGCGGAAGAGAUGGGCGACUGACAGUGUCCUGCCAUGUUCCAGUUGUCCCUCCACCCCCACCUCCCAGAGGCCUGACCAUCUCCUGCAGUGA
rnacentral:lncRNA from 1 species